GGGAAUCUACCGUGCCCUGCGGAAUAGCUCCGGGAAACUGGAAUUAAUACCGCAUACGCCCUACGGGGGAAAGAUUUAUCGGGGUAUGAUGAGCCCGCGUUGGAUUAGCUAGUUGGUGGGGUAAAGGCCUACCAAGGCGACGAUCCAUAGCUGGUCUGAGAGGAUGAUCAGCCACAUUGGGACUGAGACACGGCCCAAACUCUUACGGGAGGCAGCAGUGGGGAAUAUUGGACAAUGGGCGCAAGCCUGAUCCAGCCAUGCCGCGUGAGUGAUGAAGGCCUUAGGGUUGUAAAGCUCUUUCAGUGGGGAAGAUAAUGACGGUACCCACAGAAGAAGCCCCGGCUAACUUCGUGCCAGCAGCCGCGGUAAUACGAAGGGGGCUAGCGUUGUUCGGAUUUACUGGGCGUAAAGCGCACGUAGGCGGUUUGUUAAGUCAGAGGUGAAAUCCUGGAGCUCAACUCCAGAACUGCCUUUGAUACUGGCAAGCUCGAGUCCGGAAGAGGUAAGUGGAACUCCUAGU
rnacentral:rRNA from 1 species